UACGUAGGGUGCAAGCGUUGUCCGGAAUUAUUGGGCGUAAAGAGCUCGUAGGCGGUCUGUCGCGUCUGCUGUGAAAACUCGGGGCUUAACCCCGGGCCUGCAGUGGGUACGGGCAGACUAGAGUGCGGUAGGGGAGACUGGAAUUCCUGGUGUAGCGGUGAAAUACGCAGAUAUCAGGAGGAACACCGGUGGCGAAGGCGGGUCUCUGGGCCGUAACUGACGCUGAGGAGCGAAAGCGUGGGGAGCGAACAGG
rnacentral:rRNA from 1 species